ACACGAUACCGGAUUCGUAUUGUACCGGAUUGGCUGAGCAAUUUGAUACGCAAAAUGCACUCAUCUUACCCAAGGACGGAUUCGUGAGACGCAACAUAAUUAAGUUCAUAAUUCGACCCAGUACUUGUACGUGCAAGUAAUAACAGCGAUAGUUUAUAACAUUGGCCGUUCUAAGUUGCCAAAUUGGAACGUAUCGGAUUCGAGGAUACACGACAGCAAAACUUAUCGGAUCGGCUUUCAUACCACUUUGUGAGAGGAGUCAAAUCGCUCCGGAAAAAACGAUACAAAGCCUUUAAGAUAGCAGCAGAGCCGUAUGAACGCAGCCCUAUCUCGUACAAAAAGUAAUCCGGUAUCAAAUCAGUCCGGUAUCGUGUGAACAGGGCCUCGGAAUUGCGCGAGUAUAUGUCGUACAUCUUUUUAGGUUUCCGAAGGAGUUCGUAGAUCUGCAAACGCAAUUUUUCCAACAGUCAGCAUCUGUUUUUGUUGCUAAAUUUAGCAUGUUGAGCAUCAGUCGAGUGAUCCUAGGGAAUCGAAUGUAGAUGAUUUAGACACUCAACUAAUAAAAUAACUAUAUAAACUAUAUGAUAUUUAUUACAGACGCUAAUAUUGCGCGCGAGCAUAUAGCUACGAUCAUACAAUAAACACCUUUCAUUUAUUUCCUGCUAUUUUUCUGGUAUUUGCCUUCAUAAAUUAACAUUGAAAGUCGUUAUUCUAAUCAGUGACAGAAGUUAGGCAAAGGUGGCCAGGAAUAUGUAAUUAUUUCUAAUUGCAGUCAUUAAACGUUUGUUACGACAACUAAGGAA